rnacentral:rRNA from 1 species
UACAGAGGGUGCGAGCGUUAAUCAGAAUUACUGGGCGUAAAGGGCGCGUAGGCGGUUAUAUAAGUUAGAUGUGAAAUCCCUGGGCUUAACCUAGGAACUGCAUAUAAGACUGUAUAACUGGAGUGCAGUAGAGGGUAGUGGAAUUUCCGGUGUAGCGGUGAAAUGCGUAGAUAUCGGAAGGAACACCAGUGGCGAAGGCGGCUACCUGGACUGACACUGACGCUGAGGCGCGAGAGCGUGGGGAGCAAAC